GUAGCGAACAGGAUUUAGAUACCCUGGUAGUCCAUGCCGUAAACGAUGAUUACUAAGUGUUGGAGGGUUUCCGCCCUUCAGUGCUGCAGCUAACGCAUUAAGUAAUCCGCCUGGGGAGUACGACCGCAAGGUUGAAACUCAAAAGAAUUGACGGGGGCCCGCACAAGCGGUGGAGCAUGUGGUUUAAUUCGAAGCUACGCGAAGAACCUUACCAGGUCUUGACAUCUUCUGACAGUCUAAGAGAUUAGAGGUUCCCUUCGGGGACAGAAUGACAGGUGGUGCAUGGUUGUCGUCAGCUCGUGUCGUGAGAUGUUGGGUUAAGUCCCGCAACGAGCGCAACCCUUAUUACUAGUUGCCAGCAUUAAGUUGGGCACUCUAGUGAGACUGCCGGUGACAAACCGGAGGAAGGUGGGGACGACGUCAAAUCAUCAUGCCCCUUAUGACCUGGGCUACACACGUGCUACAAUGGAUGGUACAACGAGUCGCGAGACCGCGAGGUUAAGCUAAUCUCUUAAAACCAUUCUCAGUUCGGACUGUAGGCUGCAACUCGCCUACACGAAGUCGGAAUCGCUAGUAAUCGCGGAUCAGCAUGCCGCGGUGAAUACGUUCCCGGGCCUUGUACACACCGCCCGUCACACCAUGAGAGUUUGUAACACCCAAAGCCGGUGGGGUAACCUUUUAGGAGCUAGCCGUCUAAGGUGGGACAGAUGAUUAGGGUGAAGUCGUAACAAG
rnacentral:rRNA from 1 species